UCGAGUUCGGGUGCGCCUUCAAACCGCCGCCCAACCUCCCAACCCAGUGUCUAACAUACCUCACGUUGCUUCGGUGGACCGGACCUGACCAACUGGUCUCGACCGCCGGCCUUAGGGCUGGAGAGCUGCCCACCGACGGCCUUCUCACAUUCUUUGUACCAAAACCUGUCGUCUAAAUCUUGUGAUUUUUAAAUCAAAACA
rnacentral:misc_RNA from 1 species